ACUGAACUUCAACAGCUUGUUUGGGUGCCCUCUUCUCCCAUGUCUUUCUCCUUCUGUUCCUCCACCAUAUUUUCCUCAUCCCAUGUUCGAAUUUCGACCGUGGGGCGGUAAGGAAGGAGAUCAGCUGUCUUCCUGAUGGUCUCCUCCAAUGACUCCACCUGCCGAAUCGUCGCGCCGCUGCAGAUGAUCUCAACAACAAGCAGCCUAAGGGAAGAGAGGUGAUGGAUGCCAAAUUCAAGGGCAGUGGCAGCAUGGAAUGGAAGAUGCAGCUUCUCAAGCUUUGCCAUACAGCCUUCUUGAAACAUCAACCCUGACUCAAUGCUCCAGCAGGUGAAGUAGAGUUCCUUCAGGCACAUGAACAUGUUGCUGUUUAUGAUGAGUCUUUGUUUUGGAUCAGCCGAUUUCGACGUCAGCCAGAGAAACAGCAAUGCGGGUAAGUUUCCGAGGAUCUCCAAUACUUCCUCUUUUACUGGAUUAAGAUUGAUAUCUAGGUAGGUGAGGUUUUCAAGUGAUGCAAUCCAAACUGGGAUUCUUGGGAAGUAGUAGCACAUGCCCAUCUGAAACUUCUGGAGGAGAUGUGGUGUGGGGAGCCAAGAAUCCAGCAAGAAAUCUAUGGAGUACUUGAAACUACUCUGAAUGCAUAGAGAUCGAAGGUUGAGUCUGCCCAGCUUGCGGAGCGAUGAAACCAAGUUAUUGACCAAAGUUUUAGUCCCACCAUGAAUAUCAGAAAUACACCAGCAUAGCCCAAGAAUCUUCAGUUUGGUCAGAUUGCCCAGCUCCUGCAAAGAAGACGCCGAACUGUUCCUGCUAAUUUUGAUCUCUGAUACCUCCUGAAGAGCUCGCAUGCACCCAAUACCUUCAGGUAACUCCAGAUUAUUGAUACGCAAACACGUCAAAUUUUGCAGCCGAACAAUGCUUUUGGGUGAUUUUCUAAGUUUCGUCGAUACCAGAUCAAGAGUCUGCAGAUGCUGUAGUUCUCCGAGUUGUUCAGGGAGUGCAUCAAUACUUCUUACAUUCAGUCUCAGGUACUUCAACUGAGAAAGCCUCCUCACAUGCUCCAGAUAAUUGCUGUCCAUAUCCUCACCAUGUUCUAUAUCAAGUACUCGCAGAACUCUAAACUCUGAAAGAGAAGGCAUUUCUUCGGCAUACCCAAAGAUACUGAGUGACCGACAACUGGAAAUGAUCGCUGUUGACGGAACCAUGACAUUCUCUUGGGAGUAAUAGCUGAGAGAGAGCCGGCGAACCUUGCCUUGCAGCACUAAUUUCUGGUUUUGUUCACCAAGGAAAGUGGCAAAGUUUUCCUUUAUUGACUUGGACAUAAGGAGAUCAAGAAUCAUAUCAUGGAUUCGGCAUGAAUCAACCUGGCCAUCAUAUCGAACUUUCACUGGCUGAAUCAUGCUUCUGCUGAUAAGAUCAUUAAGAUACGACUCGCCUAUUUUCUCCAAAUCUUGUCCACUUCCUGUAUUAAUGAACCCUUCGGCGAUCCAUCUCUUUACCAGCUGGUCUCUCUCAAUCUCACAGUCUUCUGGAAAUAUGCAUAGAUAUAGUAGACAUGUCUUCAAAUGGUGAGGAAGAUCAUCAUAGCUAAGGGAUAAUAUCCUCUGCAUCUCUUCGACACUUGGAUCUUUUUCCAGUGUCGAACCAAUUGAAUUAUGUACCCUCUCCCAUUCUUCUUUUGUACUAGCUUUAUUAGUCAAUAAGCUAGCUAUGGUAAUAAUCGCCAAUGGAGAUCCACUACAUUUUUUCAAUAUUUUACAGGAGAUUUCUUCCAAUUGGGGAGGGCAUAUAUCUUCUGUGCCAAAUAUUCGUUUCAAAAAUAAACUCAUUGCAUUGGCUGUACUGAGAGGCAUUAUUUCAUAGACAUGAUCAUGUUGAGGAGAGCAACAUGACUUGGCUAUAGUAACACUCCGUGUUGUAGUUAUUAUUCUGCUUCCAAGAUUAUUCAUAAGCAAAGCGCAUUUGAUAGUCUUCCAUGCUUGAAUACUCCAGAUAUCAUCAAUGACAAUGAAGUACCUCUUGUCCUUUAGGAAUCCUCUGAUUGCAUCGAUAAGAUUUUCCUCAUCCCAUACACUUGUGCUAUCAUACACUUGCUGACUAACUUGGCAGAAUAUGUUUCUCAGAAUCCUUUUUACGUCAGGCUGCUGGGACAGAGAAACAAAAGCUCGACACUGGAACUGGCCUUCCAGUCUACGGUACACCUCAUUCGCAAGUGUAGUUUUACCCAGACCACCAGGACCCACGAUGGAUAUCACCUUCAGCUGCUGAAACGAUGCAUCGUCUCCCUCCAUUAUCAACUUGACAAGCACAGCUCUCGGCGUCUCAAUACCAACAAGCCCGUCUGACUCAGCAUACAGCGAAGGCAAACGGGGGUCAAUUGCCCUCGCGAUGCUAGGCUCAAAGAUACGAUCGUCAAGCUUAUACCUCAUCCGCCGCUUGCUUGCAUCUUCGACUCGUCCCUUGAGCUCUUGGAUUUGGCUGGCGAUUUGACGGCGCACCUUGAGCACCUUGAGUUGUUGGGCCACCCUUUGGACAGGCCCUGCAGCCUCAGCUAUGCCAAUGUGGCCAAGGCGAUGUGUGAAACCGUCGAUACAAUCCUCGAUGUCAUAAGACAUCUCCCGUACUUGGUUUCUCCACUCCUCCGUUUGCACAUCGAGGUCAGAGUCUACCUCUGCCAGCCUAUGAAGGAGAGCAUUCAUGCUGCUCAGCUCAUCUUUCAUAAACUCCACCUCCCUCUGUAAUCCUUUCAGCUUUGCGUACUCCUCCCCAAGAAGUGCACUGAGCUUGAUGAUGACUGAGGUCAUCGCCCCUGUCAAGGCACUUGCCAUCUGUUGGAAUUUCAAUCAGU
rnacentral:sRNA from 1 species